GACGUUUUCAGCGUUCGGAUAUGAAGCUGAAAACAGGUACAGCAGUCUGAUUGAAGAGGGGAAGCAUACGAAAUGGUACUACUUCAGGAGAUUUAAGAUGAAACUUUACAAGCAGGACAUAACCAGAGAUAUGGACAUUGAAGAUGAAACUGGAAAGAAAUUAAAUGCCAAAUUUGUGUUUAUGGCUUCAAUAAGAUUUCUUAAAGACGAUCUUUUGAAAGCCAUUGAAGACCGGAUCAAGGGAGGCAUCAAAUCAAAGGAAAUCAGUUGGGUUUUGACAGUUCCCGCGAUUUGGGAUGAUGGUGCCAAACAGUU